AUGCGCGCGCCGGAGAACCAGCGCAGGGCGCGGAAGUAGCACAGCUCGUGUCGGCACUCCCGUCUGUCAAGCGCAAGUCUCCAAACUUGUCACCUGCAUGCGCCUGGGAACAGCGACAUCGGACUACUACACUGACCACGCGGUCUGUGAUAAGACUGGGAUAAUUUCCAGGUUCCUACAGCUCCCCCAAACAGCCCAGCAGUAUACGGACCUACAGAGAGAGCCGCGUGCCGCUUUUGAGGAUUUUCCGCGCUUCUCCUUGCUCGAGCGCAACCCGGUAGAAGCUCGUGCGUCUGGUUUUGAGUGACUCCACUGACGGUGCCCCGCUGUGGUGCCAUGUUGGCCGCACCCCUGCCACCCCCAGCUCACACCCCCCACACACACACCUCCGCACACGCACACACACACACCACCAAAACCGACGCCAGCACACACACACCCACACACACCCCCGCUGCCAUUGAGCCCCCCUUAGACAUUCCAGUAUUGAAUGACGACGAGGAAGAUCAAAGUCAAUAUGGCAAAGGUGGGUACUACCCUGUGCAGAUUGGGGAGAUGUUUGCGGAACGCUACCAGGUGCUGAAGAAGCUGGGAUGGGGACACUUCUCAACCGUAUGGCUAUGCAGAGACACCAGGACAGGCUCCUUCGUGGCUCUGAAGGUGGUGAGGAGUGCUGCGACCUUCACAGAGACAGCUCUGGAUGAAAUCAAACUGCUCAAG